UAUUGUCUUCUAGCUUCUUACGGCUGACUCGGUGGUCAGGGGGAAUUUGAUGAUGGCAUAGUGGUCAAGCUUGUUCCUCCUGGGCGCGCUCUUCCCGGGGUAUUUAGGCUGCCUUUGUAGCCGCAGGGUCUUGGGCCUCUGAAAGGUGGGAGAUGUGCAGAUCUUAUUUUUGUGGCUGUGGACGCCUUUCAGCACUUCCUUCUUGGCUUUCAAGGCCUUUGCUUUAGCUUCGGCUUUGGGAGGGGCAGGAGCUUACUUUGCUUUCAACACCAUCUUGAUGUGUUCCCUUGUUCCCAUAAGCUUAUCGUUUUUUAAAUUCUUUAUAUUUUUUAUGUGCAUGAGCUUUAGCCUGCAUGUACGUGUGUGCCUGGUGUCCUUAGAGGUCAGAAGAGGGUGUUGGUUCCUUAGAACUGGAAUUACAGAUGACCGUGAGCCACCACGUAAGUGCUGGGAACUGCAGUUAGAUUGCAGCCAGUUAGUUGUCUUAUCUCUGAAGUACUGUUUGUUUAUUUGUUUUGUUUGUUUUUUUUUGAGGCAAGGUUUCUCUGUAGCUUUGGGGCGUGCCCUGGAACUCACUCUGUAGACCAGGUCGCCUCACUCACAGAGAUCCACCUGUCUCUACCUCAUGAGUGCUGCCAUUACAGGCGUGUGCCACCACUGCUCGGCUUGUUUACAAGGUUUCUGUAUAGCCCUGGAUGUCUUGAAUUCGCAGAGAUCCUACUGUCUCUGCAUUCUGAAUGCUGGGAAUAAAGGCAUGGGUCACCAUGCCUAACUGAAAUGCUGUUUGUUUUUUAAUGACUUAAAAAUUUUUUUUAAGGAAUCAUUUGUGCUAACUGGUGAGUACAUCUUACUAGUUACUCUUUUUAAAAAAAGGAUUUUAUUUGUAAUUAUGUGUGUGUGUGUGUGGGGGGGGGGUUACAUAGUUCUUCAAGAGUCCAGAAGGUAGCAUCAGAUCACUCAUAGAUAAGAGAGCCAGUUGUGAGCUGCCUGAUGUGAGCUGAACUCUGUUCUUCUAAAAGAGCAGUUUGUGCUCUUAACCAGUGAGCCAUUUCUCUAGCCUGAGUAAAUUUUUUUAUAGCUUAAUAAAUUAUAAAAUGCAAGUAAACUAUUUGAAAAUACACGAAAUAAUCCUAAGUAAUAAAUGUGCAGAGAAACAUUUAGAUAAUUCAGGAGGCAGUCAAAUCACUCUUUCAUAAUCAGAAGAAUGUCCAGCAAUAUUAAAAUAUUUGCAGAAUUCUCGCCAACGGUUGCACUUAGGCUAACAGAAAAGAGGUCUAGGGUACAUACUGAUGGCACAGUAUUGGACCAGAUAGACCCAUCCAUGUUAUAUCGUGACCAUGAUCUUAUGUUGGUGUUGUCAAGUCACUUUGAUUAGCGCUUCAGGGAGACUGGUGAAAUUGCUACACAAACCUGUCAGCCAGCGUUCAGUCCCCAGGAACCAAACAAAGGUAGAAGGAGAGCCAACUUUGCCUUCUGAAUUUUUGCACUUGUGCCUACUCUCUCUCUCUUUUCCUCCCUCCUGACCCCCCAGUAAGAAUAAAAGAAACUUCUUGGGGCAUUUUUCUAGUAAACAACUGGCUAGAAGUGCUUUCUCUCUGAAAAUGCCAUGUCUGGUUCAGUGGCUCUGCUGAAGUGCACUAGGAGACUCAAUUGAUGAUGUCGUGGUUCUGAUUCGGCUGCUCUCAUUACCUGGGCCAAUAGGAAAUCUUAAACUAGGAUGUAUGGUUAUGAUUAGAAAAUUUUUAGUUGGCAAUCAAGUAAGGGUCUUUAAAGUUAUUGAUAUCUUAGAUUAUUUGAAAUUUAAGAUCAUAUAAAUAAACUAUAACAUAACAAAGAAAAUCAACAAGAAAUUAGAAGAGUUUUGCAGUUGAGACAGUCAGGUUCUUAAUAACUCUGUAACACUGCUCUGUGAUUUGUUGACAUGGUUUCCUACAAGAUUUUUCAUCCUAAGUUUUCUUUUGAUUUCAGAGAAUGGUUCUUUCUUUUGUCACAUGAGGUGUUGAACCCAAUGUAUUGCCUGUUUGAAUACGCAGGGAAGGAUAACUACUGUCUGCAGAUAAACCCAGCUUCCUACAUCAAUCCAGACCACCUGAAAUAUUUCCGUUUUAUUGGCAGAUUUAUUGCCAUGGCUCUAUUCCAUGGGAAAUUCAUAGAUACUGGGUUUUCUUUGCCAUUCUAUAAACGCAUUUUGAACAAACCAGUUGGACUUAAGGACUUAGAAUCUAUUGAUCCAGAAUUUUACAAUUCUCUCAUCUGGGUUAA